UAUUACAGGCCUCAUUCCACCACGGGACUAAUGGUUUUCCUCCAGGAGCUUUUUUCAUUGGUAUGAAUUCAGAUGCUACUGCCCCUAUCACCUCACAUAAUGAACUGUACCAGGAAUCUACCCCUCCUUCAAUGCAAAUCCUUCCUCCAUCUGAGAGCUUUCCUCAAAUUCUUCCCAUCUUGCCUUUUAUAAUUAAAAGACCUUAAUUUAACAAGAGACUCUCUGCCUAAAGUUCUCCCAAACCUGCUUAGAAUUGGAACAUGAUCACUGCCGAGCAUAUAUCUGUCCAUUAAAUCCCACUCACCCACUUGAGCUAAGAGUGCUGAAGCUAAAGUCACAGCAGGACUGAGCACUCUGAUUGGUCCUAAACCACGUUGGUCUCCCAUCAUUUAACACCACUAAACCAUGCUUAUCUAUAAAGUUUUCCAGCACCUGCCCAUUUUCAUCUAUGCCUCUACUUCCCCAUAGUGGGUUGUGCGCAUUAAGAUCUCCCACCCAUAAAACUGGUGAGUUAACAUUUUCAAUGAUUUCAUCUAACUGCUCCACCUCAAGCUUAUCAGUAGGAGAGUUAUACAUAUUAACAACUAAAAUGUUCCCUUCCCAUUCCUGACUUGAUGAAUGUUGCUGAGACAACUUCCUGUACUGCAUCCGACUUGUUUUUGGCCACCAUUUUAACUUUCCAGAUUGCCUCUACCAUAAAAGCUAGGAAGGCCUUCUUAUUAACUAUAAUUGUUGCUUCUGGUGUUGCAGACGUAGUCCCUGGUAGUCCUAUUUUCCUAGCAAUGCCAGACCCAUGGGCCUGCAUACUAGUGGAGCUUCUUAUCCCUUCCACCCUCUUCACAGCGUCCGCAUAGGAAAUUCUUUUUUUCCUGCCUUAUUUUCUGAACCUGCUCAGCUUUUACCGAAUCUGGGCCCCCUCAAAUGAAGCAAUGUGUUCCCCUCCACAGUUUGGACACUUCAUAUCCUUAUUGCAUUCUUUCCCAUCAUGAUCUUCUCCACACCGUGUGCAGCGACGCCGACCCCUGCAUACAACAGCCACAUGACCAUAUCUUUGACAGUUAAAGCAUCGUAAAGUAGCCCUCUCAUAUGGCCCGACAGGAUAUAUAAGGUAGCCAAGUGAUACUUUUUUUGGUAGUUCAUCCUCUUUAAAUACAAGAAGUACUGGAGGACUAUUUUUUCCAUUUUGAGGGUUCCCCAUUCGUCUCACACUCACAACGUUACCCCCCCUUCAGGUUGUUUAGCAUCUCUUGCUCAGAUAUUUCCACUGACACAUAUAGAUUACAUAUAGAUAACACCACUAUUCUCGUUUGGAGCAAACCCUUCCACUCCUUUCCCCAAUAAGUUCUUAACCUUCAGGGCCUUGGCUUGCAAGUCUGCUGACUUGCAAAUUAUCAUGAGAGAUCCAUUAUUCAUAGUGCUAGCAUGCAAAACAUCACCUAUUUCUUUCUUAAUCGCCUUUGACAAUUUCAAGGGACUAACUGAACCAAAGCCUUGGCCUUCCCCUUUCAUUUUAAAGAAAACCUUGAAAGCAUUCCCUUCCCUUUCAUCCAUCUUUCUAGACUUCGGUUGAUUGCUAUCAAUGUCGCUGUCUUGAGAAUUGUAACCUCUCCUGUCUCUCUCUUUUCUUUUCAUACAGGUAGUACUGACAUUAACCCACUUAGCCUCAACUCCAGCAUCCCCCUCCCUCUCAAGAUUUACUUAACCUGUGGGCAUAGGCCAGCCCUGAUGCUCUUUUACUUACAGAGAAGUUGUUGAUUAAGAAGUUCCGAAAAUAACGAACUCAAACAAAACACAUGCAAAACCGCCUCUGGCCGUGUCCUGGCUCUCCAGUCAAGGAGAAGUAGAGUGCAAGUGCCGCUACCGGACCUAUACAGGCCGUUGGCCGACACUCACACAACUAUUCCCCACUCGACCUACCAGGAACACAAUCAGACAUGGCCAACUACAUUAAACAGUUUAAUAAAGUAUUAAACCACGCGACCAUUAAAGUUUGUGUCAACUCACCAGCCAUCAGCCGAGACAGAGCUCUCGAGAGGAAUCCUUUGAUGUGACUGGUGGCUCCCGUUGGAUGAUUGGAUGAGGAUGUCACAUAACAGCAUAGUAAUAGUCAAUGAUUGGAUGAGAGCAACAUAUCGGAGGAGCACAGCUACGGAUUGGUAGAUGGUUAUGUCAAUCAUUACUCUACAAAGUGGGUCACUUUGCACUUUGCGCGGGGCAAUAUUAUGAGCUUUGAACCUGAUAAUUAUUCCAUAGGUGUAGGUUUAACAAAUAUGGUGUUGGGUUACAAGUUUUUGAGUCGAAUACAUUUUAGACAGUGUCCCAAGGAAAACUACAAGUUUACCAGAUGGUUAAUGAAAGACGGCCUACUUCGAAAAUGGAUGAAAUGUCCCUCUUGCUCUCAUGUUAUGAAGUUGAAAUGGCCCUACGGCAAAAAGGAGACAGCAUGGAUAUGCUGAGAUUCCUGUUACAAAGGGAAAAUGGUGCCGAGGUCCAGCCGAAGUGGCUCUAUGUUUGAGAAUUCUCACAUUCCACUGCAUACGUGGGUGCAUUACAUCUACAGAUUCACCCAAGGCCUUCGACUGAGACAAGUGGACAUGUUGCAGGAAGGAAUUACUCGGAGUUCUGCAACUCUGAGUAAACUUGCAGACAAGCUGCGGAGAGUUUGCAAAUCGGGAAUGACAAGAAUGAGAA